GUUUCUACAAGCAAAGUGCACAUAACUGAACAGCAGAUGUGAUCUGUUAGAAAGUAUUCAGCCCUGAUUUGAUCUGCUGUUUCAAAGCAACAAGGCUGAAGCUACACAGACCAUUUUCCUUUGCAGGUGAAGAUUUAUGAUAAGUAAACUGAUGGCUGAAAUAAAUCUGACACUGGCCCUUUGGAGAUUUGGUAUUUUUAACAAGGAAGAUUAUUCACGCUGUAAGGCAAGAACCAAUGAGAGACCAACCAAGCAAGUUCCAACAAUGCCUGCAACAAUUCCCGGGGCCUCUCCUUUGGAGAAAAUUGGACCCAAGAGAACAAUGCCUUUCUUUAUGAGAAUGACUGCAACACAACCAAAAUUAUUCACAAGAAAUUUCAUUUUAUCAUUUAAUCUAUUCCAAUUCUGGUACUUCUGCUGGAUGCAGGGAUAAAUUUCUGAGCAAAUAGCAUCUGAUAAUGACUAGCUUUUUAUGAACUACAGAGCCAAAUGAAAAAACAAAAAGAAAGUGACCAUAUUUUCUCUUAUGUAGAGCCAUGUUUAUUUUGUCCUAUUUUGUAUUUCUCUGAUCUCAAAUUUUGGAUGUAUAUAACACUCCAUACAAAGGAAUAUUUCCAUGUUUAGGUAACUAAUGAAUUCUGUAGAUGGAUGUGUGUGUGUGUGUGUGUGUGCAUGUGUGCCAACCUUAGAAAUAUGAAAUAUCUUGAGACCCAGGUAUGGCCAAGUAUAGGCUGUGAUAUGAAGUUUGAAGAAUAAAUUUCAAAGUUGUCACAUCAGAUAUCAAAUUCCAUAGUCCAUAAUUAGUAUCUUCUAUUUCUAUAAGCAGCCAAAGGAAUGUUUGUGAAAGGGCAUAAGGGGUAUUUUUAAAACACAUUGAGAAAUGAGCUCAAAGUGUCUUGAUUUAUUCAAAAAGACGGACAGUGGGGCAAUAAUUAAAGGAAAAUGAGUAACUUUUACUGUUCAUCUUUAGAUUUUAAAAAAUCAUAUAUUCAAAUCCUUCAAACAUUAAUUGACCUACCCAACCUUCCAAGUUAUCUCAAAAUUAUUGUGUUUCCUAUCAAAAAAGUUCAAGUUGCACUGUCAGCAUGUAGUCUAUUUAUAUUCUAUUUAUAUAUAUAACGAAUCUUAAAAGCCAUUGGGUUCAACCAUUUCAGUUUACAGGAAAUUGAGGCAGAGUGAUAUUAAGUAACUUGCCCAGGAUCAUAUAGCUAGUAAAUAUCAGAAAUGCUAUUUUCCUGAUUCCAAAUCCGGUAUCCAUUCCACUUAGUACAGAUGGUUUCUUCUGAUAAAGUAUAACUUUCCAUUGAAGUGGGAAUGCAAUGUUGGUUGACCUCAAUUAUCUUUCUGUCCACCAAUUUUAGGGUCCAGAAACCAAAUCUUUUUUCUCCCUUUGUUUUAAUUAAUAGAAUGGUUUGCAAUAUCACAAGAUUUCAGAUGUGAUGGAACAUGAAGUUUAGGGCUUUUAUUUUUGUGAUGACUAUAAUUAA